UGGGGAAUAUUGCACAAUGGGCGCAAGCCUGAUGCAGCCAUGCCGCGUGUGUGAAGAAGGCCUUCGGGUUGUAAAGCACUUUCAGCGAGGAGGAAGGGUAGUGUGUUAAUAGCACAUUGCAUUGACGUUACUCGCAGAAGAAGCACCGGCUAACUCCGUGCCAGCAGCCGCGGUAAUACGGAGGGUGCAAGCGUUAAUCGGAAUUACUGGGCGUAAAGCGCACGCAGGCGGUUUGUUAAGUCAGAUGUGAAAUCCCGCGCUAACGUGGAACUGCAUUUGAAACUGGCAAGCUAGAGUCUUGUNG
rnacentral:rRNA from 1 species